rnacentral:rRNA from 1 species
CCUACGGGUGGCAGCAGUGGGGAAUAUUGCACAAUGGGCGAAACCCUGAUGCAGCGACGCCGCGUGAGGGAAGAAGUAAUUAGUUAUGUAAAGCUCUAUCAGCAGGGAAGAAAAUGACGGUACCUGAGUAAGAAGCCCCGGCUAACUACGUGCCAGCAGCCGCGGUAAGACGUAGGGGGCAAGCGUUAUCCGGAUUUACUGGGCGUAAAGGGAGCGUAGGCGGCAGUGCAAGUCUGGAGUGAAAGGCGGGGGCUCAACCCCCGGACUGCAGUGGAAACUGGACGGCUGGAGUGCAGGAGAGGUAAGGGGAAUUCGUAGUGUAGCGGUGAAAUGCGUAGAUAUGAGGAGGAACACCGGUGGCGAAGGCGGCUUACUGGAGUGUAACUGACGUUGAGGCUCGAAAGCGUGGGUAGCAAACAGGAUUAGAUACCCGGGUAGUC